GCCACAUGAUGAUCUCAUAGAUAACAUUAGUAUUUUGUGCAAAGAUGACACAUUAUCUAUCACCCGUGACUGAUGGCU
ensembl:snoRNA SNORD83 Small nucleolar RNA SNORD83